AUUGAACGCUGGCGGCAGGCCUAACACAUGCAAGUCGAGCGAGUGGCGGACGGGUGAGUAAUGUCUGGGAAACUGCCUGAUGGAGGGGGAUAAAUACUGGAAACGGUAGCUAAUACCGCAUACCAUCAGAUGUGCCCAGAUGGGAUUAGCUAGUUGGUGGGGUAAUGGCUCACCAGGGCGACGAUCCCUAGCUGGUCUGAGGGGCGACCCAGCCACGCUGGAACUGAUACCAGGUCCAGACCCCAACGGGAGGCGGCAGUGGGUAAGAUUGCCAAAGGGGCGGAAGCCUGAUUCAGCCCUGCCGCGUGUGUGAAGAAGGCCUUCGGGUUGUAAAGCACUUUCAGCGGGGAGGCGUUACUCGCAGAAGAAGCACCGGCUAACUCCGUGCCAGCAGCCGCGGUAAUUC
rnacentral:rRNA from 1 species